UACGGAGGGGGCUAGCGUUGUUCGGAAUUACUGGGCGUAAAGCGCACGUAGGCGGUUUUGUAAGUUAGAGGUGAAAGCCUGGGGCUCAACUCCAGAAUAGCCUUUAAGACUGCAUCACUUGAACACGGGAGAGGUGAGUGGAAUUCCGAGUGUAGAGGUGAAAUUCGUAGAUAUCAGGGGGAUAACCAGCAGGCGUAAGCGGCUUUGCAUAAUGAUUCUGACGCUGAAGUUCUUAAGCGUGGGUCGCAAACGGG
rnacentral:rRNA from 1 species